rnacentral:rRNA from 1 species
UACGUAGGGGGCUAGCGUUGUUCGGAAUUACUGGGCGUAAAGCGCGCGUAGGCGGCUUUGUAAGUUAGAGGUGAAAGCCCAGGGCUCAACCCUGGAAUUGCCUUUAAGACUGCAUCGCUUGAACAUCGGAGAGGUAAGUGGAAUUCCGAGUGUAGAGGUGAAAUUCGUAGAUAUUCGGAAGAACACCAGUGGCGAAGGCAGCCUUCUGGGCCAACACUGACGCUCAUGCACGAAAGCGUGGGGAGCAAACAGG